AAGACUAUAGCUCAGUGGUAGAGCAUCUGCUUUACUUGCAAAAGGUCCUAGGUUCAAUCUCCAGGUAGGGCUGG